GAUCCGGUGGCCUAGAGAUUAGAGCGUCCGCCUUGGAUGCGGGAGGUCAAUGGGUUCGAUGCCCGGUUGAGUCA